CCAUUGCUUUUUCUUAUUUAUAUUAAUGAUUUGCCUGUCGGAAUUAAUUCUACCAUUAGGCUUUUUGCUGAUGAUUGCGUACUGUAUCGUGUCAUUCAUAAUCAACAUGACGUUUCUACAUUGCAGUCCGACAUUGACGCUGUUUCUAACUGGUGCGACAAGUGGCUCAUGAAAUUAAACAUCAUGACUGGAACCACCUUCCUGCCUCCAUUGCUGCAAUCGAAGAAUCUGCCGCCUUCAAAAUUGCAGUUAUUGAUAUAUUGUUGUCAGACCACUCCUCUCUGUAAUGCCCUCGGGCCCUGAGAGUAUGAAAAUAAAUAAAUAAAUAA